rfam:Pan troglodytes isolate Yerkes chimp pedigree #C0471 (Clint) chromosome 17, whole genome shotgun sequence.
GCUGGGCAUAGUGGCGUGUGCCUGUAAUCCCAGCUUCUUGGGAGGCUGAGGCAGGAGAAUCUCUUGAACCCAGGAGGCAGAGGCUACUGUGAGCCAAGAUGGUGCCACUGCACUCCAGCCUGGGCGACAGAGUGAGACUCUGUCUCAA